CCUUCCUCUAGAGGCAUUGCAGGUGAGCCUGCUGGGUCACAUGUGCAUCUUUAGAUGACAGAGAAGAGAGAGGCCAUGCUAUGCUCAGCGCUCUGACCUAUGGACAUCCGAAUGGUCCUAAGAUUCCCUGA